UAUUAAACAAAGCUUUCUUACAUCGGUUAGUUUCAGUCUUUCAGAGUUCAUCUCUUUUAUACAAGAGCGUACAUCUUAUACCAUGCUGCUACAUUUCCACACAACCUGUAGUUGGUGUGGUGUGAACUCUUAUCGCCACAACAACAUGUAGACCCAAAAAAAUCUUCUCAAAAGUUGUAGUUGGAGCAGAGUGCUCAAUCACUUGAGUAUGAGCAGCGAACCAGAAAUCACAAAGGGGCCUAAAUUUCCAGAACAGAAGGAGCCCCGCACUGCGUGCCUUCGAUUGGAAGGAAACAGCAGGAGCAGAAAUACUGGGCUCUCAAGUGCGAGCCCAGCCGCGCCCGAAGUAACCCUCCCGAGGCAGGAUCACUGACGAACCAACAGAAAGGGAAACCUCCACAGAUUAGAGAGACCGGUAGCACGGCCAUGGCGACGUCGAGGUGGGGAGGGGCUCCCCUCAUCGUGGAUCCCAGGCUCCCCUCAACGGAGAGGAGCACGGCCCGUGGAUCUGGUGGUCGUACGAGUGUGGGCUAGGCCUCCACUGCAGCUCGGGGACGGGAGAUGGUGGUGGCUGGCGCCGUCAAGGAGGAAGGCCGGUGAGGAUCUAUUCCAGAUUUGUGGUGGCGGGGGAGAGAGAGAAGAAAUACUGCAGGGAGCACCCACACGUCCUCCAUGUCGCCGGAUUGUAGUGGGGAGGUUGUGGACCGCACCAGCGGCUGGGAGGAGCCGGGAGGGGGAGCUCGGGGACGAGCCAGAGGAGGAGGCUCGGCCGGCUGGGUGGGGUGGG
rnacentral:rRNA from 1 species